GAUGAACGCUGGCGGCGUGCUUAACACAUGCAAGUCGAACGAAGCACUCUAUUUGAUUUUCUUCGGAAAUGAAGAUUUUGUGACUGAGUGGCGGACGGGUGAGUAACGCGUGGGUAACCUGCCUCAUACAGGGGGAUAACAGUUGGAAACGACUGCUAAUACCGCAUAAGCGCACAGGAUCGCAUGAUCCGGUGUGAAAAACUCCGGUGGUAUGAGAUGGACCCGCGUCUGAUUAGCCAGUUGGCAGGGUAACGGCCUACCAAAGCGACGAUCAGUAGCCGACCUGAGAGGGUGACCGGCCACAUUGGGACUGAGACACGGCCCAAACUCCUACGGGAGGCAGCAGUGGGGAAUAUUGCACAAUGGGGGAAACCCUGAUGCAGCGACGCCGCGUGAGCGAAGAAGUAUUUCGGUAUGUAAAGCUCUAUCAGCAGGGAAGAA
rnacentral:rRNA from 1 species